rnacentral:lncRNA from 1 species
UUAUUAUAUAUUCAUAUACUAAUUCAUACUUUGGCAUAAUCUAUAACUUUAUUUGCUAAUUACUAUUUUAAAAUAUGCUUUACAAGCGUAAUUACUUUUGAAUGCUGUAUAUUUUGGUGUUGAAAUGUUUUUGCAGAUACAUGAAGAUUGCAAGAUCAAGAGAGGAGAGUACAUCACCCGUUCUUGUGAUCAACCUACAAGAAUACAGACAAACAUUAAUACAACGAACUAUAGCUUUUUUUUACACAAUGUCAUGAUUAUAUGGUUAUCCAAAAACUUGUGUAACCUAAAUAAGAAAAACAAUCACACCAACUCAAAUGAAUAAAAUAUCUAGAGCGAACUAUAGUCAUAAUCACACGAACUAUAGCUUUUUUUUACUCAUAAUGUAUGAUGAAAUGACUUGAAGGACGAACUUGAUCAUCACCUCUUUUCUGGCUUUAGAUAAAGAUUGAUUUCUCCGGUCUCCAUGAGUUCAUCUUUUUCCAAAUGAGGUCCUUGAUAUUAGAAAAUGUUGCAUUGAAUUAUGAUAUACAUAUUAUUAUUUAGGCUAAAGUGCACUUUUCUCCCCCUAAUUUUCAAAAAUUUGCAAUUUUGGCCCCCUAUGAUUUAGCCCCAUUGCAUCUUUGGUCCUUUUGGUCAAUUUUGACUUAUUCAACGCCUACGUGGCCCACC